rnacentral:rRNA from 1 species
UACGGGGAAAAGAAACCAACAGGGAUUGCCUCAGUAACGGCGAGUGAAGCGGCAAAAGCUCAAAUUUGAAAUCUAGCACCUUCGGUGUUUGAGUUGUAAUUUGAAGAUGGUAACCUUGGGUUUGGCUCUUGUCUAUGUUCCUUGGAACAGGACGUCAUAGAGGGUGAGAAUCCCGUCUGAUGAGAUGCCCAUUCCUAUGUAAGGUGCUAUCGAAGAGUCGAGUUGUUUGGGAAUGCAGCUCUAAGUGGGUGGUAAAUUCCAUCUAAAGCUAAAUAUUGGCGAGAGACCGAUAGCGAACAAGUACAGUGAUGGAAAGAUGAAAAGAACUUUGAAAAGAGAGUGAAAAAGUACGUGAAAUUGUUGAAAGGGAAGGGCAUUAGAUCAGACUUGGUGUUUUACGAUUAUCUUCUCUUCUUGAGUUGUGCACUCGUAUUUCACUGGGCCAGCAUCGAUUCGGAUGGCAAGAUAAUGGCAGUUGAAUGUGGCUUCACUUCGGUGGAGUGUUAUAGCUUCUGCUGAUAUUGCCUGUCUGGAUCGAGGGCUGCGUCUUUUGACUAGGAUGCUGGCGUAAUGAUCUAAUGCCGCCCGUUGAAA